CACGAACGCUGGCGGCAGGCUUAACACAUGCAAGUCGAGCGCCCCGCAAGGGGAGCGGCAGACGGGUGAGUAACGCGUGGGAAUCUACCCAUCUCUACGGAAUAACGCAUGGAAACGUGUGCUAAUACCGUAUACGUCCUUCGGGAGAAAGAUUUAUCGGAGAUGGAUGAGCCCGCGUUGGAUUGGCUAGUUGGUGGGGUAAAGGCCUACCAAGGCGACGAUCCAUAGCUGGUCUGAGAGGAUGAUCAGCCACACUGGGACUGAGACACGGCCCAGACUCCUACGGGAGGCAGCAGUGGGGAAUAUUGGACAAUGGGCGCAAGCCUGAUCCAGCCAUGCCGCGUGAGUGAUAAAGGCCCUAGGGUUGUAAAGCUCUUUCACCGGUGAAGAUAAUGACGGUAACCGGAGAAGAAGCCCCGGCUAACUUCGUGCCAGCCGCCGCCGUAAUAC
rnacentral:rRNA from 1 species